ensembl:lncRNA
GAGAAAGUGAAAACACAUAAACGUGUGUUAACAGUGACGUGUGUUUGAACGGCAUCAUUCAUUCAUAUCUGCAACAAUCAACAAAGACUCCCGCUUUGGUCCACGUAUCGAGGUUUUCAAGAACGUUGUUCACGGUUUCAUGGAACGAUCCUAACAAACCUGCGUGUAAAAUAAGCACCGGGAUCAUCUUCCAAAAUGCACAAUUGGCUGGAAUCCCAGUCCCGAACAUUACAGAAGCCGAUGCCUCACUGUGUUGUGGUGGAAGGUUGGCUGCCCUCCACAGGAUCCAUAUUCCAGGCCAGAGGACACACAAAAACAAAAAAGGGACUUUGACCUUUAGUGAAAGUGUGUUUGCGGGAAUGUGUUAUCUGUCAAUAUCAAAUCCCCCGACUGAACGUGACGGAUCAAUACGCGGGUGAGCCGUAAUGCGAAUGAACACUUCGAGGAUUUAAACGACGCUUAAAACCACAACGACGAAUGGAGAAAGCGUCGCCGUCGGGUCAGUUGGCGCUGCCGGGUGAUUAUUUAGAGAAUUAACGAGAUGGAAUUUGCUCCGUCAGCAGACGGCUCUUCUGUUAGAGACGGGCGGAUAAUGGUGGACUGUCGGCGGGUCACUGAGUGGCCGAGCGGCACUGGCCAUGACCUACUUUCUUCUCCCCUGCAUUCAAGUAAACUCAGUGCUCACUGCCGAAAGGGAAACAGACUUUUGUUGAGCCUCAAGUGGCGUGAAACAUCACCGGAGAAAGAAACCGAGGACGCGUUUGUGUCGGUACAAACUGGAUUCAGUGCUACAGAUAUUCUCUGGUGUGACUUUCCAUCCUGCUCCUCGUGCUUUGCUCGGUGCAGCUUUUCUCUAAAUACUGAAGCCCCCCCCCCCCACGCAAAAUAGAAAUGACACGGGGGUUCUGCCAGAUGUUACGCAGCAGCGCAUCGUGACUCUGGAGGAAAGGAAGAGGAACUAUUCACUGCAUCACAGACUCCACCUGUGCGAUCACCUUGUUUUCUGUCAAAAUGGCUGCUGAGAAAACGGUGCAGCUUCCAGUGUGAAUGUGAGGGUGUGCGUGUCCCCCC